rnacentral:rRNA from 2 species
ACGUAAAGCGAGCGCAGCGUUUUUUAAGUCUGAUGUGAAAGCCCUCGGCUUAACCGAGGAAGCGCAUCGGAAACUGGGAAACUUGAGUGCAGAAGAGGACAGUGGAACUCCAUGUGUAGCGGUGAAAUGCGUAGAUAUAUGGAAGAACACCAGUGGCGAAGGCGGCUGUCUGGUCUGUAACUGACGCUGAGGCUCGAAAGCAUGGGUAGCGAACAGGAUUAGAUACCCUGGUAGUCCAUGCCGUAAACGAUGAAUGCUAGGUGUUGGAGGGUUUCCGCCCUUCAGUGCCGCAGCUAACGCAUUAAGCAUUCCGCCUGGGGAGUACGACCGCAAGGUUGAAACUCAAAGGAAUUGACGGGGGCCCGCACAAGCGGUGGAGCAUGUGGUUUAAUUCGAAGCAACGCGAAGAACCUUACCAGGUCUUGACAUCUUUUGAUCACCUGAGAGAUCAGGUUUCCCCUUCGGGGGCAAAAUGACAGGUGGUGCAUGGUUGUCGUCAGCUCGUGUCGUGAGAUGUUGGGUUAAGUCCCGCAACGAGCGCAACCCUUAUGACUAGUUGCCAGCAUUUAGUUGGGCACUCUAGUAAGACUGCCGGUGACAAACCGGAGGAAGGUGGGGAUGACGUCAAAUCAUCAUGCCCCUUAUGACCUGGGCUACACACGUGCUACAAUGGAUGGUACAACGAGUUGCGAGACCGCGAGGUCAAGCUAAUCUCUUAAAGCCAUUCUCAGUUCGGACUGUAGGCUGCAACUCGCCUACACGAAGUCGGAAUCGCUAGUAAUCGCGGAUCAGCACGCCGCGGUGAAUACGUUCCCGGGCCUUGUACACACCGCCCGUCACACCAUGAGAGUUUGUAACACCCGAAGCCGGUGGCGUAACCCUUUUAGGGAGCGAGCCGUCUAAGGUGGGACAAAUGAUUAGGGUGAAGUCGUAACA